CAUCAAAGAGCAGACAAGUGUUUGUUCUGCUUUGUCGAUCAGCUUCACAGCGUGCGCCCGUUUGCUGCGGAGCUGGGCCAGGUUUGUCUGACCGGUCACCACCGUGCCUGGUGCCAUGUGCAGGAGGUUUCACCCACUUUUCUUUGUCUAGAAAUGCUGCAAGGCAUUAAGGAGAACAGAGCUGCUGCAGCAAUAGGCUGACGCACAGCCUACGUGAAACUUUCCAUUAGAAACACGUUUCUAAAAUAAUUACCCUAUUAGUUCAGGAAGGGACAAGAAAUGACUUACACAUGGUUCCCACGUAAACACUCCAUCCCUGGUCCACACCUGCUCCUGCCUGGCUCUUCCCCCUCUCCCACCUUCCUCUUCCUCUGCCAAAGGAUGAAAGCUUGGGACUGAGGGAAGGGGGCUGGAAGUUUGCAAGCUGGGGAUCCCAUUUGUCACCUCCAGCUUUCCCCAUGCAUACUCAAUGGUUGCUGGAGUGGGGUAGGGAUGUUGGCGGUGAAUCACCCUGUGAAGAAGAUCCUCCCCGUGCCACGGGGCUGCUCAGCUACAAAGAGAAGUGUACUUCACCCUUCCGUCUGCCCUCCCCAGCGCCGCCGGAGAGCUGAGAGUCGGCGUUGUUGGCCUUCCUCCCCCAGCAGCGGGGAAUGUGUGAGCUGGACAGGCUGAGUAAAAAUGACCUAAUGCAGAAAAGAAUCAGAGAAUGAGCAAUGAGAGAGAGGGUUAUAACAAUGCUUCCCGUAUGAGUUAGCAGCACCCAGGGGACUCCCACAGCCGCUGGAUUUCCUGUCCUGGCAGCAGCCCAGCCUGGCUUAUUUUGCUUCCUUGACAGACAGCAUCUGAGUCUGUUGUUAUUUUUACUUCAGAAGUGUGUUAUUUUCUCUUUUUUUCGCUUCCCUGGAUUUCUGCAGGAAUGACACCACGAAUGCCAGCCCUGGAGCUCAGCAGCAUUUGUUCUCCCAGCCCCAAGGCAAGGACAUACACCUGGUGGGCAUCACUGCUUGCUGCUCCUCUGGGCAGGACAACAUCCCACGAAGGACACCACUGAGCCCCCCGGGGUCACAGCUGAACUUCAUUCAUAGAUCACAGGUGACCCCAACACCCUUCUCUGGAGGCCUCAGCUGAUGAGGCACUGAGCUGCGGGGUGUUUGAAGGGCGAGGAUCCAUCACCUGUAACAGGUUCUUCUGAGAUGCAUCUUUCCACCAUGUGCAAGCAAAGGGCAGUGCCAGUUCCAGGAGAACACACACCUGGUAUCUCCACCUCCCACCCCAGCCCAGCUUCUCCCAGAGAUCAGUGCAUCUCUGAAGCACGUGGGGACAGUGUUUGCAGAGUGACUCACACCAACCUGACGUGCUGGUAAUAAAUUCUGUUACAGCAAUAACCAAACUUCUACUGCUAUUGCAGGGCUAUUUCUGUCUUCACCAGGGAGUGAUCCCAGGUGCUCACAUCUCCAUCUUUUGCAUGCUGUCACCUCUGUCCUCGCUGUGACUGUCUGAGGCAGCUGGGAGUUGAUGAUGUAAACCUUGGCACCUGGUCCCUAACCCACGUGUCCCAGUGCUGCCCCAGCCCUCGCUGUCUGCCCUGAGGAAUAGGCUCACAUCCAGCACUCAACCAACGGGGCUGUGACACCGGGUGCUCCUGGGCAUCACCCAGCCACAGGAAGGGACUGCAUGGCUCAUGGCAUCCUUGGCAGCAAGAAGGCACCUUAAGGUUCCACAAAAUGCCCCAUGCAGACCCCUGAAGCCCAGAAGGAAGAAGAGGAUAUGAAGGCUUUUGGGAUGGGGAGGAAGAGGAGGGUCCAGCUUGGAGGUACCUGUGCCCUACAGGAGAUAUGGGCACAGGGUGGUUCCUGGGACUGUGGAGGCAUCCUGGGCCACGUGCUGGGGCUUAAACCAGCCAGGACAAGCUGCCUGGGCAGCAGGGACCAGAGGGCACCCUUACAUCAGAUGAGGCUGGCAGUGCUCAGAGGACACUGUGUUGAGCCAUCAGGCACCAGCAGCUCCAGCAACUGGCCAGGGAAGGGACUAUACCUGCCAUGGGGAGCUGUGCCUGUGGGUUAGGGGGCAGCCACACCAUCCCCAUCUCACUGCCAGCAGCCCCCACACCACACAGAUGGAUGACUUUGUGAGCCACCCAACAGCUCUGCAUGGCCCCGUGAUGCCAUGAGCACAAUGAACCACCCAACCCUGACCACAAGCAGCCCCAGGGAUGGGCACAAGACAUUUCAACCACUGAAUGCACAGGAACCAGCCCCUACAGAGCAUUUUCCCUACAGAUCCCAGCUGUUCCCAGCCAAGCAGUGCAACCAGGACCUGACACAGCAACACUGGGCUUUUUGCUGCUCCUUUUGAUGUGUCCCAUGGGGACCCACUGGUACAUGAGGUCAGCCAUAUCUUUGGGCACUUCCUCAUUCACAGGCCCGGCAAAUGCUGUCCCUGGGAACAGUCUGAUUUUGGGCAAAACAUUCUGUGUUUCUGGCCUGAGCCUUUAACCUAGGAGCAUCUGGCAGCUGCUGCAGCAUGCCAGACAGCUCAGCAUUUUGUGGGACCAGGUUUUC